rnacentral:rRNA from 1 species
UGGGGAAUAUUGGACAAUGGGCGCAAGCCUGAUCCAGCAACGCCGCGUGGAGGAUGAAGGUCUUCGGAUCGUAAACUCCUGUCAGAUGGGACGAAGGUUUGGAGGCAAAUAGUUUCCGAGCUUGACGGUACCAUCAGAGGAAGCCCCGGCUAACUCCGUGCCAGCAGCCGCGGUAAUACGGAGGGGGCGAGCGUUAUUCGGAAUUAUUGGGCGUAAAGGGCGCGUAGGCGGCCCGGUAAGUCAAAGGUGAAAUCCCUCGGCUCAACUGAGGAACUGCCUUUGAAACUGUCGGGCUUGAGGCCGGGAGAGGGUAGUGGAAUUCCCAGUGUAGCGGUGAAAUGCGUAGAUAUUGGGAGGAACACCAGUGGCGAAGGCGGCUACCUGGACCGGUUCUGACGCUGAGGCGCGAAAGCGUGGGUAGCAAACAG